rnacentral:tRNA from 1 species
GGCAGAGUAGCACAGCAGAAGCAUGCUGGCCCCAUAACCCAGAGGUUGAUGGAUCAAAACCAUCCUCUGCUA